AGUGCAUCAGAAGGGACAGUACACAUCUUUCAUUCCCACCAUUCUUUGUGAAGAGGAAUCCAAAUGUUCUUUGGCCUGAUCGAGUUCUUAUGGGUGCCUUGAGCCAUCCUAGGAGGCAUCCCAAGUAACAACAUUAAGAACGUAUAAAUGUUUGAACUGUGCAGACUUCUUGUUGUGAGAAAAAAAGCCUGCAGCCAAUGAGAUAGAAAUGGAGAGAAGGGCAAUAGCAGCUUGCACAUGUCAAGGAUCUGCAGCACAUGAAACCCCUUAAACUGAAGAUGAUGGUGGGUCCCUGAUGCAAUUUCCUGAAGCCUAGAGAUGUCAGCACUCGCAGUCAGCCGCUUUAUCAUCCAUUGCUCCAUUAACCUCAUCCACCUGGUCAACACAAUUCAAACAUACCAGUUAAAACAGAUAUGGGUGCAAGUCAUGACACUUUUACAGAUUAAAGAUGUCCGAGAUUCACGAUGAAUGCUGUUUGAAGAAGAAUGAACAGAAUGAACAGAAUCACAUUUUAAUUUAAUCUCACUGCCAAUGUGGACUUAAAAGAGGACAGGCUUUGUUAUGACAACUGUAUUUUUAAGUAACAGAGAUAAGGGUGUUAUUGGAAUCAUUUCAAUAAAAUAUGGGAGUACCGGUACAUACCAGUUUGAUAUCUUGAUUAGACUGGGACUUAAACAAAAAUGGUAGAUAUUGGACCUCUCUAAUACACAUUAUAAACAUCUCAUGUCUUAAGUCAAUAACAAAGCUGUAAUAAGGCGAUAUUUAGUGUAAUUAACACUUAGGGCUAUUCUUCUAAAACAUAUAACCACCGGGUUUGGCAGAUUUUUAAUAAUAUAUGGUUGGGCUUUUUUGCUAAUUUGCACCCCAAAAGGCACAUUUGCUUUUGUAUGGGGUUGGCAUAAAAACUUAAUAAAUGCCUUCCCUCCAGUGGUUAUAUUUUUAAAUGGAAUAGCCCCUAUCAACAUUUUUAGCUGGACUAUUUGAAUAAUAAGGAGGGUUAUACCACUCGCCUCAGCAUCUGCUUUGGCUUUAGCGUCCGGUUAAAGUUUAAGACCAAGUUGGGAUUUUCACUCAUAACUGCAAAACCCUUCAUUAAAGUCACUUAAUACUCCAUACAGUUGUUCAGGGCCAUUACAUAAUGAUGUUAAUACUUCAAUAGCCUUCAUUCAUGGACUUAAUACCUUGCACAAUUAAUGAUGAACAUCUUACAAUAAGGUGACAUAACUCCAUUUUAACUAAAUACAAAUUAUUGCCCUUUUUUCAUUUUUAUUUCUUAUGUCAGGCACAUUUAUAUAUUCUUAACAGGGUUUUUGAAAGCUAAUUGUUUGGGCGGGCUGGUGGAAGGGUCUUCAAAGUCACCUUAUGUGUAAAAUAAUUUUAGCUAGGUUUGACAUAUAGUGACCAAACUUCGUAUGUAGGAAGCGUUUAUGAAGACCUUUCAUGAGAUUGCGUUUUAGGCUUCUGGGAUCAAUAUAAAGGUCAAAGUUACUAUUAAAAGCAAAAGAACUGGUAUUGAUUAACUUAAAGGUCGACAUAUUGUGACCAAACUUGGUUUAUAUGAAAGUUCAUACAGACUUUUUUAUUGUGUUUUGGGUUAUGAUCUAGGUCAAAGUCAGUAUUGCUGAAAAGUACAAAUAUAGUUAGUACUGAAUAAGUAAGGGGUGACAAUGUGUGACCAAACUUGGUAUAUAUGACAAGUUAAUGGAGAGCUUUCAUUCGAAUGCCUUGGGCCCCUUAGGGUCAAUGUCAAUGUUACUAAAAAAAUAUUACUUUUUGGUACUGAAUAACCUAAGUUAUGGUUGAUAUACUGUGACCAAACUUGAUAUAUAGGAAGAGUUUAUUGAGAACUUUCAUGAGAUUGUGUUUUGGGCGCAUAGGAUCUAGGUCACUGUUACAAAAAUAGUAGACAGCAGUUGAAACUGAACUUCUUCUGCCAAUCAUUAACAAAACAACUAUUGUCACAUCACGAUACUUUUUAAAUUGAUUUUUCUAUUGCUUUUGACAAGCACAUAUUACAUCAUAAUGUAAGAAGAUACAUUGUUAAAAAAAAACAGAAAAUGUUAAUUUGAAUAAGAGUGUCUUUUUUUAAAUUUGUAGCUGUUUACUUACCAUGAAUUUGUCUUUAAAUACAACUUGUACUUUUUAUGUGUAGGGUUCGAGUUGGACCAUAUUGAGAGAUUGUUUUAAAUAGCAUAUGCUAAAACAUACUGUGACUGUUGUUGCUGCCUUUUAAUUUUAUGAAAAGUAUUGCUUUAUUAUUUUUUUAAAUUCCAUAUUCUUAAGCUCCUUCUAAUUCUUGUCAGGUAAUUUUUAAAUCAAAUUAAUUGUUAAAGUGACACUCUUAUUCAAAAUCAAUGCAUACAUAUGUAUAACAAACAUACAUUUUGAGUGAUAAACCUUUAACUUCUUACUAAAUAAUGCAUUGAUGAAACAUAUUUAUUACUGGUAGCAAGUUUGUAACCCUGUAUUUAAUAACAGAAAACGCAAAAAUAUUUAAUGAUUGAUGAAUGCUAAAAGAUUUACUGUGAUCUACUUUAAUAGUCUCAUAAGGUAGAUACACCAUGUUUUAUGCACAUUUCUUUCAAAUCAAAAUCGGUAUCCUUCAUGAGAACCAUUGCUUUCAACAUUCAUUUAUCCUUUUCGCAAUAUUAAAACAAUAGUAUUAGUAGUGGUAAACCUUUUUGGGAGUAAGAGUGCAUCUUUAAAAAAUGUGUUUAAUGUGGAUAUAUUAUGAUCUAUGUGUCAUUGCAUGUAUGCACUUGCUAGUAUUGCCUAAGAAUUUGACCUCUGAUAUUUUAUGUAGUAGUUAGAUAAUAUGAAGUAAAUUCUGUCAGAGUUAGUGGAACUAAUGAUCCAUUCUUAAUCAUUGAAAUGUACUAACAAGGCAUCUCACAGUCUUAUGUCUUUGUAUGCCUUUGAGGUUAUGUCUCCACAAAUCUUUAUCAUGGCCUGACAGUCUGCUUUCUUUAAUUUGUGUCUUUGUAUUAAAAAUAUGUAUUAUUUUUAAUACAUAUUUUAUUUAUAGUACUGCAUUUAUCUCCUAUCGAUGUUCAUGUUUUAUGUAACUUGAAACUUUCAUUAAGUUGUAAAAACAUUAAAUCUGUGAGAGUGUAGCUUUAAGAGAAACAUUAGUGAUUUUAGCAUCAAACUUGUUUUAUAUGUUCUUUUUAAGUUCUAGGUUAUUCUGUAAUCAUUAACCAUCAUUGUGCCAUAGACCUGUGAAAAAUUAUUAUAAUGUACUAUGUUAUAUUAUUGAAUAAAAUA